CGCGCAGGCGGUAAAUUAAGUCAGGUGUGAAAGUUCGGGGCUCAACCCCGUGAUUGCACCUGAUACUGAUAAACUAGAGUGUUGGAGAGGUAAGUGGAAUUCCUAGUGUAGCGGUGGAAUGCGUAGAUAUUAGGAGGAACAUCAGCGGCGAAGGCGGCUUUCUGGACUGCAACUGACACUGAGGUACGAAAGCGUGGGGAGCAAACAGGA
rnacentral:rRNA from 1 species